UCGCACGAUGCCUCCCGGGCUUCCCUGAGAUCUGUGAUGCGAAUGCCCCAAAGCACGUGCCAGAUGUAGCCGUUCGUGUUGCAGUUUAGCCUCCUUCUUCAUGGCUGAUCUGUGUCAAAGCAACGGCAACAUUC